GAUGAAUGCUGGCGGCGUGCCUAAUACAUGCAAGUCGAGCGAACGGACGAGAAGCUUGCUUCUCUGAUGUUAGCGGCGGACGGGUGAGUAACACGUGGAUAACCUACCUAUAAGACUGGGAUAACUUCGGGAAACCGGAGCUAAUACCGGAUAAUAUUUUGAACCGCAUGGUUCAAAAGUGAAAGACGGUCUUGCUGUCACUUAUAGAUGGAUCCGCGCUGCAUUAGCUAGUUGGUAAGGUAACGGCUUACCAAGGCAACGAUGCAUAGCCGAUCUGAGAGGGUGAUCGGCCACACUGGAACUGAGACACGGUCCAGACUCCUACGGGAGGCAGCAGUAGGGAAUCUUCCGCAAUGGGCGAAAGCCUGACGGAGCAACGCCGCGUGAGUGAUGAAGGUCUUCGGAUCGUAAAACUCUGUUAUUAGGGAAGAACAUAUGUGUAAGUAACUGUGCACAUCUUGACGGUACCUAAUCAGAAAGCCACGGCUAACUACGUG
rnacentral:rRNA from 1 species